rnacentral:rRNA from 1 species
GAUGAACGCUGGCGGCGUGCCUCAAACAUGCAAGUCGAGCGGGGCUAUGUAAUAUCGCAAGGUAGAACAUAGCCUAGCGGCGAACGGGUGAGUAACACGUGGGUAACCUGCCUGGAAGACAGGGAUAACGAUUCGAAAGGGUCGCUAAUACCUGAUAAUAUCCUUUCAUCGCAUGGUGAUAGGAAGAAAGGGGAAACCCGCUUUCAGAUGGGCCCGCGUCCCAUCAGCUAGUUGGUAAGGUAAAGGCUUACCAAGGCGACGACGGGUAGCCGGUCUGAGAGGAUGUACGGCCACACUGGGACUGAGAUACGGCCCAGACUCCUACGGGAGGCAGCAGUUGGGAAUCUUAGGCAAUGGACGAAAGUCUGACCUAGCGACGCCGCGUGAGGGAAGAAGGCCUCGGUUGUAACCUACUGUCAUGGGGAAGAAGUAAGUGACGGUACCCGAACGAGGAAGCCCUGCUAACUACGUG